rnacentral:rRNA from 1 species
UACAGAGGUCUCAAGCGUUGUUCGGAUUUAUUGGGCGUAAAGGGUGCGUAGGUGGCAUGGUAAGUCGGAUGUGAAAUCCCGGGGCUUAACCUCGGAACUGCAUUCGAUACUGCCAGGCUAGAGUACUGGAGAGGAGAUUGGAAUUUACGGUGUAGCAGUGAAAUGCGUAGAUAUCGUAAGGAAGACCAGUGGCGAAGGCGGAUCUCUGGGCAGUUACUGACGCUGAGGCACGAAGGCCAGGGGAGCAAACGGG